UGAGCAAUCUGCCCUUCUCUUCGGAAUAAGCGUUGGAAACGACGUCUAAUGCCGAAUACGACCUCCUUUCGCAUGAUCGGAGGUGGAAAGCUCCGGCGGAGAAGGAUGAGCUCGCGGCCUAUCAGCUAGUUGGUGUGGGUAAUGGCCCACCAAGGCGACGACGGGUAGCCGGCCUGAGAGGGUGACCGGCCACACUGGGACUGAGACACGGCCCAGACCUCCGUACGGGAGGNAG
rnacentral:rRNA from 1 species